GAGAGACUCCCAAGCCAGGGUGGCAAGAAGCAGGACUUCUCAUUCCUCUUUUUUUAUGUUGCGUGUGGCUCCACAUGCUCCAUUUGUCUAGACCAUUUGUUUGGCCACCUUGGUACUCAAUGAGAGCCUGUCUCGCCAAAGAAAUGACCGAAAUUUUAAGAAGAUCCAUGGGACCAAUGUUAUUCUCCUUUUCUAUUGACUCCAAGCAACAUCACAGCGAGAGCCAAGACUUUCCAAAAGACCUGUACAAGGGAGGCCAGCAUCAUGAAACACAAACUCCUAAACCAGCAUGGUAACACACAGGACUUCUUCUGAUUCUUCUCAUGUUCUUGGGUCUUGCCUGUGGUUCUACACGCAUCCAGAAAUGCAGACAAAGAACAGCUUGGCCUUUAACAGUCGGAAGCCUCUGAUUUUACUCUACUAAGCCUCAGAUACAGUCUGUUUUUCUGUUCUCAUUCAUUCAUUUAUUCAUUCAUUCAUUCAUUCAUUUAUUUAUUUAUUUAUUUAUUUAUUUAUUUAUUUAUUAUAUUUUUGCCUCAAAUUAUGUUUGCAUUAUCUUUUGUAUAACAGCGUCUACAAUCAUGUUACACUUAAACUCUUAAAAAAUAACACUGAAAUUAACAUAACAUCCAUCCAUCCAUUCUCUGAACCGCUUAGUCCC